rnacentral:rRNA from 2 species
UACGAAGGGGGCUAGCGUUGCUCGGAAUUACUGGGCGUAAAGGGCGCGUAGGCGGGUGUUUAAGUCAGAGGUUAAAUCCCAGGGCUCAACCCUGGAACUGCCUUUGAUACUGGGCACCUAGAGUUCGGGAGAGGUGUGUGGAACUCCGAGUGUAGAGGUGAAAUUCGUAGAUAUUCGGAAGAACACCAGUGGCGAAGGCGACACACUGGCCCGAUACUGACGCUGAGGCGCGAAAGCGUGGGGAGCAAACAGG